AUUUAUUUAGUUUAAUAAAAACACUUCAUUUUCAAUGAAGAGAUGAGUUAAACUCAUUAAAUA
rnacentral:tRNA from 1 species